AGAGUUUGAUCCUGGCUCAGGAUAAACGCUAGCGGCAGGCCUAACACAUGCAAGUCGAGGGGCAUCGGAUAGAGUACUUCGGUACUCUUGCCGGCGACCGGCGGACGGGUGCGUAACGCGUAUGCAACCUACCUUCAACAGGGGGAUAAUCCGAAGAAAUUUGGUCUAAUACCCCAUAAUAUUCCGACAGGCAUCUGUCGGAGUUGAAAGCUUCGGUGGUUGGAGAUGGGCAUGCGUUGUAUUAGCUAGAUGGUGAGGUAACGGCUCACCAUGGCGAUGAUACAUAGGGGGACUGAGAGGUUUUCCCCCCACACUGGUACUGAGACACGGACCAGACUCCUACGGGAGGCAGCAGUGAGGAAUAUUGGUCAAUGGACGGAAGUCUGAACCAGCCAUGCCGCGUGCAGGAUGAAUGUGCUAUGCAUUGUAAACUGCUUUUGUACGAGGGUAAACACAGAUACGCGUAUCUGCUUGAAAGUAUCGUACGAAUAAGGAUCGGCUAACUCCGUGCCAGCAGCCGCGGUAAUACGGAGGAUCCGAGCGUUAUCCGGAUUUAUUGGGUUUAAAGGGUGCGUAGGCUGUUUUUUAAGUUAGAGGUGAAAGCUCGACGCUCAACGUCGAAAUUGCCUCUGAUACUGAGAGACUAGAGUGUAGUUGCGGAAGGCGGAAUGUGUGGUGUAGCGGUGAAAUGCUUAGAUAUCACACAGAACACCGAUUGCGAAGGCAGCUUUCCAAGCUAUUACUGACGCUGAGGCACGAAAGCGUGGGGAGCGAACAGGAUUAGAUACCCUGGUAGUCCACGCAGUAAACGAUGAUAACUCGUUGCCGGCGAUACACAGUCGGUGACUUAGCGAAAGCGUUAAGUUAUCCACCUGGGGAGUACGUUCGCAAGAAUGAAACUCAAAGGAAUUGACGGGGGCCCGCACAA
rnacentral:rRNA from 1 species